AAGCCCCCAGAGAAGCUAAUAGCCGGAUAACAUAUAGAACCGCAUGGUUCUUAGUGAAAGAUGGUUUUGCUAUCACUUAUGAUGGACCCGCGCCGUAUAGCUAGUUGGUAAGGUAAAGGCUUACCAAGGCGACAUACGUAGCCACCUGAAGGGUGAUCGGCCACACUGGAACUGAGACACGGUCCAGACUCCUACGGGAGGGAGCAGUAGGGAAUCUUCCGCAAUGGGCGAAAGCCUGACGGAACAACGCCGCGUGAGUGAUGAAGGUUUUCGGAUCGUAAAACUCUGUUAUUAGGGAAGAACAAAUGCGUAAGUAACUGUGCGCAUCUUGACGGUACCUAAUCAGAAAGCCACGGCUAACUACUUGCCAGCAGCCGCGGUAAUACGUAUGUGGCAAGCGUUAUCCGGAAUUAUUGGGGGUAAAGCGCGCGUAGGCGGUUUCUUAAGUCUGAUGUGAAAGCCCACGGCUCAACCGUGGACCGUCAUUGGAAACUGGGAAACUUGAGUGCACAAAAAAGAAAGUGGAAUUCCCCGUGUAGCGGUGAAAUGCGCAGAGAUAUUGGGGAGGAACACCAGGGGGCGAAGGCGACUUUAUUGUCCGUAACUGACGAUUAUGUGCGAAAGUGUGGGGAUCAAACUGGCUUAGAUCCCCUGGUUUCUCCCGCAGUUAACGGCAAUUGAUAAGUGUUAGGGGGUUUCCGCCCUUUUGUGCUGCAGCCAACUCUCCCAGCAUUCCGCGACGGGAGUACGACCGCAAGGGUGAAACUCAAUGGAAUUGAGGGAGACCCGCACCCGCGCUGGAGGCCCUGGUUUUCUUGGAAGCAACGCGAACAACCUUACCAAAUCGGGACAUCCUUUGAAAACUCCAGAGAGAGAGCCUUCCCCUUCGGGGGAAAAAGUGACAGGUGGUGCAUGGUUGUUUUCACCUCGUGUCGUGAGUUGUUGGGUUAAGUCCCGCAACUAACGCAACCCUUGAGGUUAGUUCCCAUCAUUAACCUGGGCACUAUAGGUUGACCGCCGGUGACAAACCGGAGGAAGGUGGGGAUGACGUCAAAUCAUCAUGCCCCUUAUGAUUUGGGUUACACACGUGUUACAAUGGACAAAACCAAGGGCAGCUAAACCGCGAGGUCAUGCAAAUCCCAUAAAGUUGUUUUCAGUUAGGAUUGUUGUUUGCAACUGGACUACGAUGAAGCUGGAAUUUCUUCGUGCAUUGUUUAUUAUCUGAGACCUUUG
rnacentral:rRNA from 1 species